ACCUGUACCGGGCGCCGGAACGAAAAUAUGGGCCCGAUACCAAUAUGUUCCAAUCAAAAUUCAUUUCAAAAUCCUUUAAACAAUUUCAGAAAACAAUUUUCUUUAAAAAUUCAUUUCUUGGGCUUGGGACCUCGGAAUUCGAUUCCGGGCAUACGCCCAAGUCCCAUAUUUUCCUACGGACCCUCCGGGACCGUCAAAUCACGGGUUCGGGUCCAUUUACCCAAAACGUUGACCGAAGUCAAAUUAAUUCAUUUUAUAGUCAAAAUUUAUCAUUUGUUUCACAGAUUUUCACAUAUAAGCUUUCCGGCUACGCACCCGGAUUCGCACGCAAAUCGAGGUGCUACUAAAAGAGGUUUUUAAAGCCUCGGAACGCAGAAUUUCAUUUUAAAACAAGUGAUAACCUCUUGGGUCAACACACUCACGUAGAACAAUAAGCAGCUGACUCAUUUUGGAAAAAUUUGCAUGUGUUUGAUGAUGACGAGUUUGACACUGAAACAUUGCUUUCAUGCAGGAAAUGAAGGAUUAUCUGGCUGCAUAUUUCAUUUGGUGAAGUCCUUAAUAAGAAGGUACAACAAUUAUGUAAAAGCAAACAAGUCGGGGAAUGCUAAUGCGGUUAGAUAUUAAUUUCGUUAAUUUAGAUUAAAGCUCCGGAUCUGGCACAAUGCAGGCCAACCACUAUUUUUAACUCCCUUUCAGUGAAACCUCAAUAUGUAGACAACGUGCUAUUUACAAUGAAAUCUUCAGGCACUUGCUUAUAUAGUACUUGACUUUUGCCCUUUGGAUGGACAGUGGACAGUAUUACACCAUCUUUUAUGGUUGUGGUUCUUCAAUUUCUGUGCAUAUUUUUUGUUUUCAUUGUUUGUGUUCUAAUUGGGGUAUCAAUAUACACUCAUUAAGGAAGGGAUAUUUCAAAUGCAGGACCUUAUAAAGUGGCAAUAUGAGGUGAUGAAUGAAAGAAAAAGGGAUUCUCUGGUCAUUUCCUCGGCAGUUUAGCCAAAUUAUCUAUGUGAUGUGGAUCAUAUAUUAAGCUUAUUCCUUGUUUUUACUUGUCUAGUUAAAGCGGAUGUUUGGGCCAAGCAGACCAUAAUUUUGAGUAAAAAUUGCACAGGGCGUCCUAUUUGGUCGCCCCCAUUUAACCUAUACCCAUAUUUUUAAAAUUAUUUAACCUAUACCCUAAUUUUUACAACUUCAGGCGCCUCCUUCUUCCUGCUACAUGUGCGCCUUUUUCUUCCUCCUUUUUUUUCUACUCUUUAUUUUUUUUAAUUUGUAGUAUAUUUUACUGCUGAUUUGCUCAU
rnacentral:lncRNA from 1 species